UGAAAGAGUCUAGAAAUAGUCUAAACCGGUUUACAAUGUCUAAGAGAAGAAUGAACCGUCAUUGAACUGGUAAAAACUGCCAUAAAACAAUUUGACCAGCCUUCUAAACAUCUGAACUGGACUGUGGACUGAACUCGCCUGAAAUGUGCUGGACUUGCUUGGAAAAAGGCUGAAACAGACUGGAGCAAAGGCUGAAUUGGCCGGAAAUGUGCUGAACCGGUCUAAAAUAGAGAAAAACAACUGUUUGCUAAAGGAAGACUUCCGGCAUAAAAUGGUCUGUAAGAAGACUAAAAAUUUCAGAAAUUUAGGCUGGAAAACAAAUUAGCACCAUGUGGAAAGUCUGAAUUUCAUUUCGACGCCUCGAUCAUUAUUAAGGGACAGGUAUAUAUACACAUUUCUCUCCUACAUCUAAACAUACUGACACAUGAUUAAGCCUACAAUUAAGCCUAGUCCAUUACAUCUGUGAUAGCCAUAAUUAUAGCAAUUGACAACCAUAAUUACAGCAAUAAAAUAUAUGUUUUCCACAACAUGGAUGAACAGAUUUCAUCAUCUAUUCGUUUUGCAUAACGUACAUAAGCAACCUUUUUUUUUGUCCCCCUAUUUGGACAUCCCCAUCUAAAAACUGGCAUCUAUUUCAAUUUAUCUCUUUCUUUUCAAUUCAUAUCUGGCUUUGUCUGUAAUUUCCAAACUUUGGCCUAUCUGAGUUUGAUUGAGUUGAUUGAGUUGCUUAACGUCUUUUUGUUGCCAUAAGUUGUGAUGCAGGAGUAUAGCUGGGUAUGGGAAGAUGGUGAUGACAGCCCUUGUGAACAUGAACGGGUAACUGAUGAAGAAGAUGAGUGCUCAAUGAUGAUGGGUGGUACUGGGGGAUCUGAAAACAAAUUGGAGAUUGAUAGUGGUAAGAGAUCUAGUUCUGUACUUCUUGUGGCAGCAAAUUCAGUGGAAGCUAAAAGCUGCGAGGCAGCGAAACAAGGUUAGAAGACACGGCAAAAGCCUUUUCACUGAAUUUUAACACUGGCACAGGUUCGACUUCAACGAAAAAAACACAGCAUAGGGAAAGGCAAAAGUUUCUGGUAGAAAGCAAGUCACACACAAAUCUGUUACUAAACUAUUUGCAUCAAAGGAAGCACAGGCCGAAGUAGCCAAAUAUGAGGAAAUAAAAAAUUAAGCCACAGCCGAUCUAAAUUCCUUGUACGAUGAAAUACGUCCUGCCAUUGAAGAAGGCAAGUGGGACAGUCAGGAAGGUGUAGCUACCAGCAUAUCAGAAAAAUGGAUAGAUGCAACCUGCGCUAAGUAUGAAGCAGAUUUCGACUUCCAUUUCUCCAUUAUCAAGAAUUUCAUGUGCCCAAAAAAUCUGGCUGGAGGCGAAGCCAGGUCUACAGCAGGGGGAGAUUGCCUGAAGAAAUCGAAUUGAUUCACAUAUUACGAUUUUCAUUUGUGCCCUCCAAGACUAGCUCGGAUUUUAAUUUCCUAAUAAGGACGUAGAAAAUUCCAUCGUUGAGACUUAAGAUGGUUAAACGCAGUUGUUGAACUCAUCGUUGAACGCAUUUUGUACGUAUUGAAUUGAUCAAGCACUCUGCUAACUUAUCCUGUGUUUGAAUUA